rnacentral:rRNA from 1 species
GGUUGAUCCUGCCAGUAGUCAUAUGCUUGUCUUAAAGAUUAAGCCAUGCAUGUCUAAGUAUAAGUAUCAUACAGCGAAACUGCGAAUGGCUCAUUAAAUCAGUUAUAGAUAAUCAAAUCUACAUGGAUAACUGUGGUAAUUCUAGAGCUAAUACAUGCUGUCAAACCUAACUUCUGGAAAGGUUGUAUUUAUUAGAUAUCAAACCAUCAUUGAUGAUUCAUAGUAACUGAUCGAAUCGUAGUCCGCUACGAUAAAUCAUUCAAGUUUCUGCCCUAUCAGCUUUCGAUGGUAG